ensembl:miRNA Mir130b microRNA 130b
GGCUUGUUGGACACUCUUUCCCUGUUGCACUACUGUGGGCCUCUGGGAAGCAGUGCAAUGAUGAAAGGGCAUCUGUCGGGCC